rnacentral:rRNA from 1 species
GAUGAACGCUGGCUACAGGCUUAACACAUGCAAGUCGAGGGGAAACGACGGGGAAGCUUGCUUCCCCGGGCGUCGACCGGCGCACGGGUGAGUAACGCGUAUCCAACCUGCCUCUGACUGAGGGAUAACCCGUCGAAAGUCGGCCUAAUACCUCAUGGCAUCGUCUGCGGGCAUCCAACGACGAUUAAAGAUUUCAUCGGUCAGAGAUGGGGAUGCGUCUGAUUAGCUUGUUGGCGGGGUAACGGCCCACCAAGGCGACGAUCAGUAGGGGUUCUGAGAGGAAGGUCCCCCACAUUGGAACUGAGACACGGUCCAAACUCCUACGGGAGGCAGCAGUGAGGAAUAUUGGUCAAUGGGCGAGAGCCUGAACCAGCCAAGUAGCGUGCAGGAUGACGGCCCUAUGGGUUGUAAACUGCUUUUAUGCGGAGAUAAAGUGAGGGACGUGUCCUUCAUUGCAGGUACCGCAUGAAUAAGGACCGGCUAAUUCCGUG